ANNUGCAGUCGACGAUGAUGGGAGCUUGCUCCUGGAUUAGUGGCGAACGGGUGAGUAACACGUGAGUAACCUGCCCUUAACUCUGGGAUAAGCCUGGGAAACUGGGUCUAAUACCGGAUAUGACUCCUCAUCGCAUGGUGGGGGGUGGAAAGCUUUUUGUGGUUUUGGAUGGACUCGCGGCCUAUCAGCUUGUUGGUGAGGUAAUGGCUUACCAAGGCGACGACGGGUAGCCGGCCUGAGAGGGUGACCGGCCACACUGGGACUGAGACACGGCCCAGACUCCUACGGGAGGCAGCAGUGGGGAAUAUUGCACAAUGGGCGCAAGCCUGAUGCAGCGACGCCGCGUGAGGGAUGACGGCCUUCGGGUUGUAAACCUCUUUCAGUAGGGAAGAAGCGAAAGUGACGGUACCUGCAGAAGAAGCGCCGGCUAACUACGUGCCAGCAGCCGCGGUAAUACGUAGGGCGCAAGCGUUAUCCGGAAUUAUUGGGCGUAAAGAGCUCGUAGGCGGUUUGUCGCGUCUGCCGUGAAAGUCCGGGGCUCAACUCCGGAUCUGCGGUGGGUACGGGCAGACUAGAGUGAUGUAGGGGAGACUGGAAUUCCUGGUGUAGCGGUAAA
rnacentral:rRNA from 1 species